GUGAGUUUUUUUUUAUUCCUUUUCCUGCAGAUCUAUAAUUUUGAGUCACUGACUCAUCUCAUCUCUUAAAGUCUAUAAUUUUAUCUCUACUAUCUGAAAUAUUAUUCGGAGUUCAUGAAAUUUCUAAUCUAAGGACAUGCUUCUGUGACUACACAAAUAACUGCCUGCGCCUCUAUCUUCGGAGUAGUAUCAACAUCACGUAGAUGUGAAGUAACCGAAAAGUCUUCGACUCCACUGAAUGCUUCAAAUAAAGGAUCUGAGACACAGUCCUGGGGUCCCGUUCAACAGUAGAUUCGUGUGUGAGAAGUUGCAGUUGGAAUGACUCUCGCAUUAGAGGACUUCCUUAUUCGCGCCCGAGUAUUAAAGCUGUACCGACAUGCUCUAAGAAUAUCAAGGAAAGAACCUUCUCAUGCUAGAGCUGAUUUGAGGCAGAUUAUAAGACAAGAGAUGGAGAAUAAUAGGAAUUGCAAUGACAAGCAAAGAAUCCAGUUCUUGAUUAGUGAUGGAUUGGAAAGAGUGAAAUGUUUGGAUGAGACGCUUGAUAUGCAAGGCCGUUGAUAUAAAUAUAAUGUGUAUUAUGGUAUAGAUUACAUCUUGCAGCGCUACCAGUGUAAUCUCCUGUUCGAUUAAUCAGAGAUGUGCUGCAAACAUAGGCGGUUCAUGCGCUUUAGCUAUCUCUACAUGGGUAUAUGCCAUGUUUUCGCCUAUCGGUGCUUAUUUUUGUCCAACUUGCCUCCAAUUAUGCAAUGGUCAUGACUGAUCCUCUUCUAAACAUAUGAGUUUGAAUGUUCUCUU